AAUAAACGUUGGCGGCGUGGAUUAGGCAUGCAAGUCGAAUGCGAACGUAGCAAUACUAGUAGCAUGGCGAAAGGGAUAGUAAUGCAUGGGCAAUCUACCCUCGACUCUGGGAUAUGCGGCGGAAACUGCAGGUAAUGCCGGAUAACGUCCCCGGACCAAAGGUGAGAUUCCGCCUGAGGAUGGGUCUACGUCCUAUUAGCUUGUUGGUGGGGUAACGGCCUACCAAGGCAAUGAUGGGUAGUGGGUGUGAGAGCACGACCCGCGUCACUGGGACUGAGACACUGCCCAGACACCUACGGGUGGCUGCAGUCGAGGAUCUUCGGCAAUGGGCGCAAGCCUGACCGAGCGACGCCGCGUGUGGGAUGAAGGCCUUCGGGUUGUAAACCACUGUCAGAGGGGAUGAAAUGCAGGUGGGUUCUCCCAUCUGUUUGACAUAUCCUCAGAGGAAGUACGGGCUAAGUUCGUGCCAGCAGCAGCCGCAGUAA
rnacentral:rRNA from 1 species